rnacentral:sRNA from 1 species
UGGUCCGCCUCAGGGGCUGAAGUCCUCUUUUUAUGCACAGAGUGGGAACAGCACGGGGAGUGAUGACUGCUUCUCUUCAAACCACUCCCACAAACCGUUCAAGGCGAGGAGAGGGCCCACACCUUUUGGGGGGGGCGGAGAACUGUGCAGCCUCUGCUGCCCAUUUAACCUCUGGUGUC